ensembl:lncRNA
ACGCUGUGUGGCUUCCUCUCUGGGUAGGAAGGCAAGGUGUCUUCUACAUUUUUGCAUUUUUCCAGGCUGCCACCCAUACCCCAGGCCACACAGAGUAAGGGAAGACAAGGUCUGAGAAGGAUUACCAGGAGAGAGAUGAGUUAAUAUCUCAAAAAUGUUACUCUUCCACAUUGAUGAGCUUCCCAGGUGGCGCUAGUGGAAAAGAACCCACCUGCCAAUGAAGGAGACGUAAGAGACGCAGGUUUGAUCCCUGGGUCAGGAAGAUCCCCUGGGGAAGGGCAUUGCAACCCACUCCAGUAUUCUUGCCUGGAGAAUUCCCUGGACAGAGGAGCCUGGCAGGCUGUAGUGCAUAAGGUUGCACAGAGUCGGACACGACUGAAGCGACUUAGCAUGCAUGCACGACAUUGAGGUGUUCUUAGUUUUUAUCCCUAAACAAAGUUCCAAGUUCACUUUAAGAACCGUCUUUUAUCUUCUGGUUUCAUUUGCGGCCCCUGUGUGGCUCCACUGCCCGCUCUGCCAAAGGUCUGCUCCCAGCUUUACCGCUGCUCCUCUGACCCCAUCCCUCAGUCCCUAACGGAAAAUCUCAGCCCUUCUCUGAGGCAGUGACGAGGUGGAUAUGAUGUAGCUUGUUGGGAAAACCACAGAAUCUGUGCUCAGCUGAUCCUUUACCAGCCCCGACGCCGCCACGCAUCUCUGCGUCAAUCAACCACCCCAUACCUCCCAGGUUGCUGCCCCUGGGGAACAUCACUGGGUAACUCGCUCAUACCUCCCGCGAAGGGAUUUGUUAGACUCUGGAACACCAAAGAUGAAAGGCACAGGCAGGCCUGCCCUCAAGGAGCUUCAGCCACAGGAGGAAAGGGAACAAAACGUGAGAUUCAAGAGCUGUUCCCAAGUGACGCGCAUCCAUUCACCAAGUUAAUGCUUAAUAAGAACGAUCUACAAAGGGUGACCGAAAGAUGAGGAGAGUGAAGACUGCCUCCAGUGAGCAUGAACGAGCGAAAUAAAUAAAUAGAUGCCAUGCUGAUCCCAAAAGAAGGAAGGUGUGACGUGAGAUCCCACCUGGGCUUGGGAUGCUUCUGCCAAACUCAGGUUGAGAUGAGUGUACAGAUGAGUCACACUUGAAAUAUACAGAGAUGAGCUAUAUCUGAAAUGUACAUGGAUGAGCUAUACUUGAAAUGUACAUGGAUUGGCAGCUAUACCUGAAAUGUACACAGAUGAGCUAUACUUGAAAUAUACACAGAGGAGCUAUACCAGAAAUGUACAUAGAUGAGCUGCACUCCUCUGUGAACUGUGCAAGGAACCCUAGCCCACCUUCGUCCUCCGCAUCUCCCCUGGGGCUUCAGGAGACUUGUCACCACAGUUCACACCAGCUUCCUCCUGCCCCAGCUCUCCCACCGCAUCUCCAGUCUCUGAACCUGCAGAGCUGCUGAUGCUGCUGGGGCCUGACGUCGCCCUGCAGCUGGAGGCCGCCCUGGCUGACCCUCAGCUGCCCUGUCCCUGUCUCACUCCAGAGACGGGCCUCGGGGGCAAUCUUGUCUUUAACACGUGGCCUCCUCUGUUCCAGGGGUCACGGAAGACCGCCCAGAGCUCACCACGUCUCACGGAGAUUUUAAUGAAACAGCUCUUCUAUUUAUUUGUGUUGCUGCCUCCAAGGCCUGGGGCCAUGACAUCAGUCCCUGAGAGGGGAGGCCCGGGCUCAGGGGACAUCAGGCUUUCUGUCCAGUUGCUUAGGUUCUGACACUAACCCGGCUUUUCUGCUUCAGUCCUACACUCUUCCCUCUGUUUUUUUCUCGGGCGUGUCUGAAUCCUGGGGUGAAUACCGUUUACCUUGCACCCUGUGGCACUUGUUAAAAGUAAACAGGUUUUCCCUGAGCGUUGGCAGUUCCACCAGAAGGAGAACAAAGGUCAAUGCAGUCAUACGGAAUCUGAUUAACACCAAGCCGCAGAAACACACCCCUGGAUUAGAUGCUUUCCCAGCUGCCCCUGCCCUUUGGACAGAGGAGCCGUUCUAGCUGGUGUGCAGGCAGCAGCUAUGCUUAGCUCGCUGAGUGGGAAUGUGUUAAUCCACAUUUCAAGUUAGGUUUGCCUAUUGUUAUUUUUUAAUUAUAUGUACUUUAAGAGUGAUGUUAUCAUUUGAAUUUUAAAAAAUGUAUAGAAAAAAGUUUUAUUACAUUGGAGUAAAAGAAAAAAGAAAUUUUAAUCAGGUUUACAGAGGUAUAAUUUACAUUCAAUGAAUUCCACCCUCUUUAGUGGAC